rnacentral:rRNA from 1 species
CAGUAGCCACGGUAAUACAGAGGAUGCAAGCGUUAUCCGGAAUGAUUGGGUGUAAAGCGUCUGUAGGUGGCUUUUCAAGUCCGCCAUCAAAUCCCUGGGCUCAACCCUGGACAGGCAGUGGAAACUACCAAGCUGGAGUACGGUAGGGGCAGGGGGAAUUUCCGGUGGAGAGGUGAAAUGCGUUGAGAUUGGAAAGAACACCAACGGUGAAAGCGCUCUGCUGGGCCGACACUGACACUGAGAGACGAAAUCUAGGGGAGCAAAUGGGAUUAGAUACCCGUGUAGUCCCUGUCUCUUAUAC